CCUACGGGUGGCAGCAGUGGGGGAUAUUGGACAAUGGGGGGAACCCUGAUCCAGCGACGCCGCGUGAGUGAAGAAGUAUUUCGGUAUGUAAAGCUCUGUCAGCAGGGAAGAAAGAAAUGACGGUACCUGACCAAGAAGCCCCGGCUAACUACGUGCCAGCAGCCGCGGUAAUACGUAGGGGGCAAGCGUUAUCCGGAAUUACUGGGUGUAAAGGGAGCGUAGACGGUUAAGUAAGUCUGGAGUGAAAGGCCGGGGCUCAACCCCGGGACUGCUCUGGAAACUAUUUAACUUGAGUGCAGGAGAGGUAAGCGGAAUUCCUAGUGUAGCGGUGAAAUGCGUAGAUAUUAGGAGGAACACCGGUGGCGAAGGCGGCUUACUGGACCGUAACUGACGUUGAGGCUCGAAAGCGUGGGGAGCAAACAGGAUUAGAUACCCUGGUAGUC
rnacentral:rRNA from 1 species